AAUCUUCCGCAAUGGACGAAAGUCUGACGGAGCAACGCCGCGUGAGUGAUGAAGGUCUNAGGAUCNUNAAACUCUGUUAUUAGUGNCGAAUAAGCAUAAACCGAAUAAGUUGGUGCCCUGAAGGUGCCUAAUAAGAAAGCCCCGGCGCACUACGUGCCAGCCGCGGCGGUAAUCCGUAGGGGGCAAGAGUUGUCCGGACGUAUUGGGCGGAAAGGUCUAGCAGGCGGUUUCUUAAGUCUUAUGUUAAAUAUUGUGGCUUAAACACAAGCGGUCAUUGGAAACGGGGGGACUUGAGUGCAGAAGAGGAGAGUGAAUGUCCACGUCUAGCGGUGAAAUGCGUAGAGAUGAGGAGGAACACUAGUGGCGAAGGCGACUCUCUGGUCUGUAACUGACGCUGAGGAGCGAAAGCGUGGGGAGCGAACA
rnacentral:rRNA from 1 species